rnacentral:rRNA from 1 species
UUGUGUUUGAAUCCGGCUCAGAGCGAACGCUGGCGGCAGGCCUAACACAUGCAAGUCGAACGAACUCUUCGGAGUUAGUGGCGGACGGGUGAGUAACACGUGGGAACGUGCCUUUAGGUUCGGAAUAACUCAGGGAAACUUGUGCUAAUACCGAAUGUGCCCUUCGGGGGAAAGAUUUAUCGCCUUUAGAGCGGCCCGCGUCUGAUUAGCUAGUUGGUGAGGUAAAGGCUCACCAAGGCGACGAUCAGUAGCUGGUCUGAGAGGAUGAUCAGCCACAUUGGGACUGAGACACGGCCCAAACUCCUACGGGAGGCAGCAGUGGGGAAUCUUGCGCAAUGGGCGAAAGCCUGACGCAGCCAUGCCGCGUGAAUGAUGAAGGUCUUAGGAUUGUAAAAUUCUUUCACCGGGGACGAUAAUGACGUACCCGA